rnacentral:rRNA from 1 species
GGGUGAGUAACACGUGGGAACGUGCCCUUUGGUUCGGAACAACUCAGGGAAACUUGAGCUAAUACCGGAUGUGCCCUUCGGGGGAAAGAUUUAUCGCCAUUGGAGCGGCCCGCGUCUGAUUAGCUAGUUGGUGAGGUAAAGGCUCACCAAGGCGACGAUCAGUAGCUGGUCUGAGAGGAUGAUCAGCCACAUUGGGACUGAGACACGGCCCAAACUCCUACGGGAGGCAGCAGUGGGGAAUCUUGCGCAAUGGGCGAAAGCCUGACGCAGCCAUGCCGCGUGAAUGAUGAAGGUCUUAGGAUUGUAAAAUUCUUUCACCGGGGACGAUAAUGACGGUACCCGGAGAAGAAGCCCCGGCUAACUUCGUGCCAGCAGCCGCGGUAAUACGAAGGGGGCUAGCGUUGCUCGGAAUUACUGGGCGUAAAGGGAGCGUAGGCGGACUGUUAAGUUAGAGGUGAAAGCCCAGGGCUCAACCUUGGAAUUGCCUUUGAUACUGGCAGUCUUGAGUACGGAAGAGGUAUGUGGAACUCCGAGUGUAGAGGUGAAAUUCGUAGAUAUUCGGAAGAACACCAGUGGCGAAGGCGACAUACUGGUCCGUUACUGACGCUGAGGCUCGAAAGCGUGGGGGAGCAAA